rnacentral:lncRNA from 1 species
AGAACCUUCUCCAAACUUCAAAGCCCACAACCAGAUCAGCACCGAUGAAACCAGUCCUGACGAUCCAACUCCGCUACCUCAACAACCGAUGAGGGUGCCUCUUAAACCCAGUAGCAAGGUAACUUCUGAUUCCGGCCCACCAUCGCCAGCUCAUACGCCGCUUUAUUUGCCUCCCUGGGGACAAAAUUGUAAGUAACCUCUUCAAGAGCUCCAGCCAAAACCCGAAUAUGCUAAGAAAUAGGACUGAGAAUAGAUCUAUCAGUAAUAUUUGAAUUUAAUUUCUUGAUAAAAGUUAGCGAAUCACCCUCCAGGACAACCUUCCUAAAACCCAUAUCCAAAGCAAAAUAGAGAGCCCUCUCACAAGCUCUUGCCUCAGCCACAAAAGCAUCUACAACAUCCACCAACGGGUACGUACUCGCUCCCAUAAUCAGGCCCUCAGAAUCCCUAGCUAACACAGCUGAAAUAGAGAAAUUAGUAUUUUUCGCAAAAGAGGCGUCAAAAUUUAGCUUAAUAAUCCCAGGAUUAGGAGGUCUCCACAGAACAUUCCUUCUCAUACCAGCAGUCAAAUCUUUAUUUUGAACAAAACUUAAGUCUUGACCAUAGCUCUGAAUAAAACCUACUAUUUCAUGGAGCUCAAAAUGUAAGCCUUUAUUAACUAGCUUAUUUCUCUUAUACCAGAGAGCCCACAAAGAGAUAGCACUGAGUUUCUUAGAAUUCAUAUCCAUUGCUAGAAAAGCACUGACAAAAUUUGUUUUUCCAUCCGAGGUAAAAACACCAAAGUCCAGAGAGAGUUGCAAAAGAAACCAAAGCUGCCGCAAGACGCUACAGUACCAUAAAAUGUGGUGGGAGUCCUCCGGCUCUGACUUGCACAGAGGACACACCAAAUCAGCCCACAAUCUCCUUUGCACCAAGUUC